rnacentral:rRNA from 1 species
CAGGACGAACGCUGGCGGCGUGCCUAAUACAUGCAAGUCGAGCGAAUGACAAGGAGCUUGCUCCUUUGAUUAGCGGCGGACGGGUGAGUAACACGUGGGUAACCUACCCUAUAGACUGGGAUAACUUCGGGAAACCGGAGCUAAUACCGGAUAAUACUUUUGAACACAUGUUCGAAAGUUGAAAGAUGGUUUCGGCUAUCACUAUAGGAUGGACCCGCGGCGCAUUAGCUAGUUGGUGGGGUAAUGGCUCACCAAGGCAACGAUGCGUAGCCGACCUGAGAGGGUGAUCGGCCACACUGGGACUGAGACACGGCCCAGACUCCUACGGGAGGCAGCAGUAGGGAAUCUUCCACAAUGGACGAAAGUCUGAUGGAGCAACGCCGCGUGAAGUGAAGAAGGAUUUCGGUUCGUAAAACUCUGUUGCAAGGGAAGAACAAGUAGCGUAGUAACUGGCGCUACCUUGACGGUACCUUGUUAGAAAGCCACGGCUAACUACGUGCCAGCAGCAGC